rnacentral:rRNA from 1 species
GACGGAGGGGGCUAGCGUUGUUCGGAAUGACUGGGCGUAAAGGGCGCGUAGGCGGUUUUUUAAGUGAGGCGUGAAAGCCCUGGGCUUAACCCAGGAGGUGCGUUUCAUACUGGAAGGCUUGAGUACGAGAGAGGAAAGUGGAAUUUCUAGUGUAGAGGUGAAAUUCGUAGAUAUUAGAAAGAACACCAGUGGCGAAGGCGGCUUUCUGGCUCGUAACUGACGCUGAGGCGCGAAAGCGUGGGGAGCAAACAGG